CGGAGGGGUAGGGGCCCUCAGGAUUGGAAGACAGUGUUGGGUGCUUUGCAUUGACUUCAGCAAGCUAAAAAUCUUAACAUGAGCUUAAUCGUUUCUUCCAGCCCAGCAUAAAGAGAAAGCAUGACCCUAGACGUGGAGUGAAUUGAGUGUGCAGGUUCCUACGAGUUCACUGCGGUUCCAGUGGGGAUUGGGCAGGCUCCAAGCACUAAAUAACCCUAAUGAUAUCAGGACUGGUCCUGUUUGCUCCAUCUUAACAUUGUUGGUUAACAGUGGACUCUGACUUUCAUGAGGAUGACUGGACAUCCACUGGGACUCCAGGAGGCUGCCCUUCGCUGCUUUGACUUUGUUCUGUCAGACUUGAUAAGAUUUUGACUUCCUGUUAAAACCUGCCAUCGGGUGUUCAGCAGGAGAGUGAGAGAGUGUCAAGCACACUGUACCAGCAUCAGAGGCUGAGCCUGCCAGCAGAGCUGACUCUGAUGGACACGUGCUUCCUAGGGCUCCUGAUGCAGCUGCUAUCUGCAGACCUCCUGGACUGCCCGGGGAAGGGAGUGGGAGCUCCUGCCACAGAUGGGUGGAACAUCGACAAGAAGGGCUAAAGGUGGCCAAAAAUAACAGUGCCUUCCAGAUGAGGUGACCUCAGAGCCAAGAGCAUCAUGGGGUAGAGUAUCUUGUUCCCAGUUUUAUGACCUAAAAAGUACACAGAAGAUGCAAAGAUACUACAGAGAGAAGGAACAAAGUCUGCAGAGAACAGGGAAAGGCGAUUACGUAUCAUAUUUUUUUAAAUAGGAUUUUGUUGUACAUGACCACAAAAGAAAACACAGCCUUUUAUACAUGUUUGAAGAGAGAGCUAGAGCUAUAGAUAGAAAAAUGAUAGAUAGAUUAAUAGAUAGAUGGUCAAUAGAUAGAUGAUCAAUAGAUAGAUAAGUAGGUAGGUAGAUAGAUGAUAGACAGAACCAAACACAAUAGAAGACCAAAAGGAGAAAAAGAUAGAGAUGAUAUUGCCUUCCUUUGUUUGCUAUUGAAACAAACUUAAUAAAUCCUCAUUGAGACUCAAGUAUGUCUGGUCCUAUUACCUUUCUGCACAACAUGUCACCCUAAAACUUACUGAUAUAAAAACAUGGUCUUCACUGUAUCACAACAAGCCCUGGUUCUGAGUGUCAAC
rnacentral:lncRNA from 1 species